AUCGCUUCUCGGCCUUUUGGCUAAGAUCAAGUGUAGAAUAUGUAGAUGUAAUUGCCUGAUGAAUGUGCACAUCACAUUGUUUUGAUGUUAAAAUUCGAAGAACAUUU
rnacentral:snRNA from 1 species